UACGGAAGGUCCGGGCGUUAUCCGGAUUUAUUGGGUUUAAAGGGAGCGUAGGCCGUCUGUUAAGCGUGUUGUGAAAUGUCGGGGCUCAACCUGGGCAUUGCAGCGCGAACUGGCAGACUUGAGUGCGCGGGAAGUAGGCGGAAUUCGUCGUGUAGCGGUGAAAUGCUUAGAUAUGACGAAGAACUCCGAUUGCGAAGGCAGCCUGCUGUAGCGUAACUGACGCUGAAGCUCGAAAGCGUGGGUAUCGAACAGG
rnacentral:rRNA from 1 species